UGAGGAAUCUUGCGCAAUGGGGGAAACCCUGACGCAGCAACGCCGCGUGAGUGAGGAAGGUCUUCGGAUCGUAAAGCUCUGUCAGAUGGGAAGAAAUGCAUGGGAGUGAAUAGCCUUCAUGCUUGACGGUACCAUCAGAGGAAGCACCGGCUAACUCCGUGCCAGCAGCCGCGGUAAUACGGGGGGUGCAAGCGUUGUUCGGAAUCAUUGGGCGUAAAGAGCGUGUAGGCGGCUUGAUAAGUCAGAUGUGAAAGCCCUGGGCUCAACCUGGGAAGUGCAUUUGAAACUGUCAUGCUUGAGUAGGGGAGAGGGAAGUGGAAUUCCUGGUGUAGAGGUGAAAUUCGUAGAUAUCAGGAGGAACACCGGUGGCGAAGGCGACUUCCUGGCCCUAUACUGACGCUGAGACGCGAGAGCGUGGGUAGCAAACA
rnacentral:rRNA from 1 species